GGGACACGUGGUAUCCUGUCUGAAUAUGGGGGGACCAUCCUCCAAGGCUAAAUACUCCUGACUGACCGAUAGUGAACCAGUACCGUGAGGGAAAGGCGAAAAGAACCCCGGCGAGGGGAGUGAAAAAGAACCUGAAACCGUGUACGUACAAGCAGUGGGAGCCUCUUAAUGGGGUGACUGCGUACCUUUUGUAUAAUGGGUCAGCGACUUAUAUUCUGUAGCAAGGUUAACCGAAUAGGGGAGCCGAAGGGAAACCGAGUCUUAACUGGGCGUUAAGUUGCAGGGUAUAGACCCGAAACCCGGUGAUCUAGCCAUGGGCAGGUUGAAGGUUGGGUAACACUAACUGGAGGACCGAACCGACUAAUGUUGAAAAAUUAGCGGAUGACUUGUGGCUGGGGGUGAAAGGCCAAUCAAACCGGGAGAUAGCUGGUUCUCCCCGAAAGCUAUUUAGGUAGCGCCUCGUGAAUUCAUCUCCGGGGGUAGAGCACUGUUUCGGCAAGGGGGUCAUCCCGACUUACCAACCCGAUGCAAACUGCGAAUACCGGAGAAUGUUAUCACGGGAGACACACGGCGGGUGCUAACGUCCGUCGUGAAGAGGGAAACAACCCAGACCGCCAGCUAAGGUCCCAAAGUCAUGGUUAAGUGGGAAACGAUGUGGGAAGGCCCAGACAGCCAGGAUGUUGGCUUAGAAGCAGCCAUCAUUUAAAGAAAGCGUAAUAGCUCACUGGUCGAGUCGGCCUGCGCGGAAGAUGUAACGGGGCUAAACCAUGCACCGAAGCUGCGGCAGCGACACUAUGUGUUGUUGGGUAGGGGAGCGUUCUGUAAGCCUGUGAAGGUGUACUGUGAGGUAUGCUGGAGGUAUCAGAAGUGCGAAUGCUGACAUAAGUAACGAUAAAGCGGGUGAAAAGCCCGCUCGCCGGAAGACCAAGGGUUCCUGUCCAACGUUAAUCGGGGCAGGGUGAGUCGACCCCUAAGGCGAGGCCGAAAGGCGUAGUCGAUGGGAAACAGGUUAAUAUUCCUGUACUUGGUGUUACUGCGAAGGGGGGACGGAGAAGGCUAUGUUGGCCGGGCGACGGUUGUCCCGGUUUAAGCGUGUAGGCUGGUUUUCCAGGCAAAUCCGGAAAAUCAAGGCUGAGGCGUGAUGACGAGGCACUACGGUGCUGAAGCGACAAAUGCCCUGCUUCCAGGAAAAGCCUCUAAGCAUCAGGUAACAUCAAAUCGUACCCCAAACCGACACAGGUGGUCAGGUAGAGAAUACCAAGGCGCUUGAGAGAACUCGGGUGAAGGAACUAGGCAAAAUGGUGCCGUAACUUCGGGAGAAGGCACGCUGAUAUGUAGGUGAAGCGACUUGCUCGUGGAGCUGAAAUCAGUCGAAGAUACCAGCUGGCUGCAACUGUUUAUUAAAAACACAGCACUGUGCAAACACGAAAGUGGACGUAUACGGUGUGACGCCUGCCCGGUGCCGGAAGGUUAAUUGAUGGGGUUAGCGGUAACGCGAAGCUCUUGAUCGAAGCCCCGGUAAACGGCGGCCGUAACUAUAACGGUCCUAAGGUAGCGAAAUUCCUUGUCGGGUAAGUUCCGACCUGCACGAAUGGCGUAAUGAUGGCCAGGCUGUCUCCACCCGAGACUCAGUGAAAUUGAACUCGCUGUGAAGAUGCAGUGUACCCGCGGCAAGACGGAAAGACCCCGUGAACCUUUACUAUAGCUUGACACUGAACAUUGAGCCUUGAUGUGUAGGAUAGGUGGGAGGCUUUGAAGUGUGGACGCCAGUCUGCAUGGAGCCGACCUUGAAAUACCACCCUUUAAUGUUUGAUGUUCUAACGUGGGCCCCUUACCGGGGUUGCGGACAGUGUCUGGUGGGUAGUUUGACUGGGGCGGUCUCCUCCUAAAGAGUAACGGAGGAGCACGAAGGUUGGCUAAUCCUGGUCGGACAUCAGGAGGUUAGUGCAAUGGCAUAAGCC
rnacentral:rRNA from 1 species